CUCGAUUCCUGAUGCUGGCUGCCUCCGGGCCUGCUUGCUAUUCUGGUGCCCAAAGUCCCACACAGCUCUGCCAGCCAAAGCCACGGUGAACAGCAGCAGCCGAUAAGGGUGGACUUCCCUGGAGGCAGAAUGCUUGGGCAAGAGGAUCCAUGCAAGCAGAUGCCUUCUUUUCAGCCUCAGGCUCCUGCUACAACCGCAAGGGACUUGACCUCAUGUGCCCAUGUGGGAAUCUCAGGAGUGCUCCGCGGGAACCAUCUUCUGACGGUCUGAAUGUCUCACUCUUUCACUAAGAAGACCAGGGAUGCGGAGCCCAAGGAAAGAAAACACCAGGUGAAGAGAUGUGAGAAAGUGGCAGGACACUGACCCGAAAUUCCAGAAGCUGAGCUUCCAGUCCUGGUUCUACCAUCACCAGCUCCAUGGCCCUGAAUCCUGUACCAGACACUUGGCAUCCACUUUCGUGUUUCAUCUUCACAGCAACGGCAAGAGAUACGUAUUUUUUUAAUUCAAUGAAUUUUAUUAUAUUUAUAGUUGUACAACCAUCAAAGAGAUCAGUGUUAUUCACCCCUCAUUUUUCCCCUCAGGAAAUGAAGACUCAAAAAGAUGAAAGCCGCAACAUUAAUAAGCCAUUAUAGAUUCAGACCCAGUCCUGGGGGCUCCAAGCCCAGAAGGAACUCCUCUGGAAAGACAAUUUCAUGUCAGCCCAGGCCCUUUAGGGGCAGAAAGCUGACACCUGCAUGUAGAGAAGGAAGCUGUCCUUGGGGGGGGGGGGGUGCAGCAUUUCCCCUAAAGCCAUCUCCCUCUUCUUUCAAGUCAGGCUUAAAGAUCCAAACCACAAAGGAAGAUGAAAGAAUCUUGUUGAUGAAGGCCUCCACCCUGAAAAAAGGAAGGGGGGAAAAA